GAAGAAGAGAAACUCCCAUCACUUUCAGCACCAACAUGUUCUCUGUAGCUCUGCUGUUACUGCUGGCUGCUGCAUCCUGUGUGAAGUGUGAGCAGCUGACACAGCCAGCCUCUGUGACUCUGCAGCCAGGUCAACGUCUGACCAUCAGCUGUCAGGUCUCUUAUUCUCUGGGCAGCUACUAUACUGCUUGGAUCAGACAAGCUGCUGGGAAAGGACUGGAGUGGAUUGGGAUGAAACAUGGUGGUGGAUCUUCAUUCUACAAAGAUUCACUGCGAAACAAAUUCAGUAUCGACUUAGACACUUCCAGUAAAACAGUGACUCUGAAUGGGCAGAAUAUGCAGCCUGAAGACUCUGCAGUGUAUUACUGUACCAGACACGACCACAGUGUCAAGUGUGAUCAGCUGACACAACCAGCUGCUCAGACUGUGCAGCCAGGUCAGCGUCUGACCAUCAGCUGUCAGGUCUCCUAUUCCCUGGACAGCUAUCCUACAUUUUGGAUCAGACAGGCUGCUGGGAAAACACUGGAGUGGAUCGGUGCUGCACGGACUGGAUACACCACAAGCUACAAUAAUAUGAUGACAAACAAGUUCAGCAUUACUUUACAGGAUUCCAGUAAAACAGUGACUCUGAAUGGACAGAAUAUGCAGCCUGAAGACUCUGCUGUGUAUUACUGUGCCAGAAUGGACGGCACCACACAGUGA